GAUGAAGAACGCAGCGAAAUGCGAUAAGUAGUGUGAAUUGCAGAAUUCAGUGAAUCAUCGAAUCUUUGAACGCACAUUGCGCCCAUUGGUAUUCCAAUGGGCAUGCCUGUUCGAGCGUCAUUUGUACCCUCAAGCUUUGCUUGGUGUUGGGCGUUUGUCUUUCGAGACUCGCCUUAAAAAGAUUGGCAGCCGGCAUACUGGUUUCGGAGCGCAGCACAAAUUGCGGUCUGUUCCUGAAUGUUGACGUCCAUGAAGCCCCCAUUAUCACUUUUGACCUCGGAUCAGGUAGGGAUACCCGCUGAACUUAAGCAUAUCAUAAGCGGAGGA
rnacentral:misc_RNA from 1 species